UGGGGAAUCUUGGACAAUGGGGGCAACCCUGAUCCAGCCAUGCCGCGUGAGUGAUGAAGGCCUUAGGGUCGUAAAGCUCUUUCGCCUGUGAAGAUAAUGACGGUAGCAGGUAAAGAAACCCCGGCUAACUCCGUGCCAGCAGCCGCGGUAAUACGGAGGGGGUUAGCGUUGUUCGGAAUUACUGGGCGUAAAGCGCACGUAGGCGGACCAGAAAGUUGGGGGUGAAAUCCCGGGGGCUCAACCCCGGAACUGCCUCCAAAACUAUUGGUCUAGAGUUCGAGAGAGGUGAGUGGAAUUCCAAGUGUAGAGGUGAAAUUCGUAGAUAUUUGGAGGAACACCAGUGGCGAAGGCGCCUAACUGGUCCGGUACUGACGCUGAGGAACGAAACGCGUGGGGAGCAAACAGGAUUAGAUACCCUGGUAGU
rnacentral:rRNA from 1 species